AUUGAACGCUGGCGGCAUGCCUUACACAUGCAAGUCGAACGGCAGCACGGGUGCUUGCACCUGGUGGCGAGUGGCGAACGGGUGAGUAAUACAUCGGAACAUGUCCUGUAGUGGGGGAUAGCCCGGCGAAAGCCGGAUUAAUACCGCAUACGAUCUACGGAUGAAAGCGGGGGACCUUCGGGCCUCGCGCUAUAGGGUUGGCCGAUAGCUGAUUAGCUAGUUGGUGGGGUAAAGGCCUACCAAGGCGACGAUCAGUAGCUGGUCUGAGAGGACGACCAGCCACACUGGAACUGAGACACGGCCCAGACUCCUACGGGAGGCAGCAGUGGGGAAUUUUGGACAAUGGGCGAAAGCCUGAUCCAGCAAUGCCGCGUGUGUGAAGAAGGCCUUCGGGUUGUAAAGCACUUUUGUCCGGAAAGAAAUCCUUGGCUCUAAUACAGUCGGGGGAUGACGGUACCGGAAGAAUAAGCACCGGCUAACUACGUG
rnacentral:rRNA from 1 species